GAUGAACGCUGGCGGCGUGCCUAAUACAUGCAAGUCGAGCGAACAGACGAGGAGCUUGCUCCUCUGACGUUAGCGGCGGACGGGUGAGUAACACGUGGAGAACCUACCUAUAAGACUGGGAUAACUUCGGGAAACCGGAGCUAAUACCGGAUAAUAUAUUGAACCGCAUGGUUCAAUAGUGAAAGACGGUUUUGCUGUCACUGAUAGAUGGAUCCGCGCCGCAUUAGCUAGUUGGUAAGGUAACGGCUUACCAAGGCGACGAUGCGUAGCCGACCUGAGAGGGGGUUCGGCCACACUGGAACUGAGACACGGUCCAGACUCCGACGGGAGGCAGCAGUAGGGAAUCUCCCGCAAUGGGCGAAAGCUUGACGGAGCAACGCCGCGUGAGUGAUGAAGGUCUUCGGAUCGUAAAACUCUGUGAUUAGGGAAGAACAAAUGUGUAAGUAACUAUGCACGUAUUGACGGUACCUAAUCAGAAAGCCACGGCUAACUCCGUG
rnacentral:rRNA from 1 species